UACGUAGGGGGCAAGCGUUGUCCGGAAUCAUUGGGCGUAAAGAGCGUGUAGGCGGCUCGGUAAGUCCGCUGUGAAAGUCCAGGGCUCAACCCUGGAAUGCCGGUGGAAACUGUCGAGCUAGAGUCCGGAAGGGGCGAGUGGAAUUCCUGGUGUAGCGGUGAAAUGCGCAGAUAUCUGGAGGAACACCGGUGGCGAAGGCGGCAUCCUGGGACCAACACUGACGCUGAGUGAGCGAAAGCCAGGGGAGCAAAGCGGG
rnacentral:rRNA from 1 species